GUAGUCUCGCACAGAUGCAUAUCAAUAAGCGGAGGAAAAGAAACUAACAAGGAUUCCCCUAGUAACGGCGAGUGAAGCGGGAAGAGCUCAAAUUUGAAAUCUUAAAGGGUUUCCCUUUACGAAUUGUAGUUUAAAGAAGUGUUUUCUGUUGAGGUUUUGGUAAAAGUUCUUUGGAAUAGGACAUCAUAGAGGGUGAGGAAUCCCGUAUUUGACCUUUACUUUCAACUUUGUGAUACACUUUCAAAGAGUCGGAUUGUUUGGGAAUGCAGUCCAAAAUGGGUGGUAAAUUUCAUCUAAAGCUAAAUAUUGGCGAGAGACCGAUAGCGAACAAGUACCGUGAGGGAAAGAUGAAAAGAACUUUGAGAAAGAGAGUUAAACAGUACGUGAAAUUGUCAAAAGGGAAGCGUUUGACACCAGUGUUGUUUUUCUGAAAAUCAAUUAAAGAACUGUUUAUGCUAAGCUUGUUUAGACUUUAUCAGCUAACUGUUUAGUUUUGAGCUUUUCUUUAAUGCACUUUUCAGUUAACAAGUCAACAUCAAUUUCUUUUGCUGUAAAAAAGCUUGAGGAAGGUGGCUUGAGAUUCGUCUUAAGUGUUUAUAGCCUCUUGCCUAUGCAGUCGGAGAGAUUGAGGUCUGCAGCGUAGAUCCUUCGGGGCUAAAUGCAUUUGUGCUAAGUUAUAGCAUUUUAUAGACAACUUGUUGACUAUGAUUUGUCUUGUAGCUUACUCGCUUAUGUUAUUUUACCUACGCUUAGGAUGUUGAUCUGUAGUGCGUGCGC
rnacentral:rRNA from 1 species